AGUUUAAACUACGUGUUUUCUGCAAAAAUGUCUUGUUGAAUUUAUUGGAAGCUUUUUUAAAGAUGGAUGAAUGAAAGGGAAUCUUAAAACUCAGUAUAUGUGGGUUCAAUGUUUCUCGAUCAACUUAAUCUAAAGAAAGUGGAAUGGCUUGUGUAUACAUGCAUUUUGAAACCAUUUUUAUUUAGAAUAAAGAAGAAGUUAUCAUAAUUUUGAUAAUGUAUGUAUAAACAGGCCUAUCACUAAAGUGGUAGAAAGAGCAUAUUCCAAUUGUUUAGAAUUAUCUUAAAUUUAAUCAUUAUUUAAAAAGUUUGGAACAUGAAAUAAAAAAACAAUUGAAAUUUACUCCAAAUUAAAUGGAACUCUAUGUUAUAUUGUAAUAAUGUCAAUGUCCCUAUCAGUAUACUAUACGUGUUCACUCUAUGUAAAGGUAUUUGGAAAUAAUGGAAACUAAGUUUCUUUUCUCGAACUCGAGGUCCUGAGAAAGUUUGGAUCCACAGAUAAAAGGACCAUCUUAAGAAUUGGGUAUCUCUAACACACCUACAUGGCUAUAUAACACUUGUAUGUUGCAACAGGCAACAGCAUGCCAAAUUUUAUGAGCUAAGGCUAAAAGAAAAUACAGCUCUUGGGACGCAAAAAACAAUAAGAGAAUCAUUUAAACUUAAAGCAAUAGAAGAUUCUAACGUUAUAAAACUAACUGGGCUAGAAGACUUACUAGAACCAUUGAGAAGAGAGUAGUAAAUACAAGUGAAAGAGUAGAAAAUCAGGGGAAAAAUUCAGAAAAAAAAUCACCAAUGAAGGUUGCAGAACAUAAGAAAAAAA
rnacentral:lncRNA from 1 species